GACGAACGCUGGCGGCGUGCUUAACACAUGCAAGUCGAGCGGUAAGGCCCUUUCGGGGGUACACGAGCGGCGAACGGGUGAGUAACACGUGGGUGACCUGCCCUCAGCUCUGGGAUAAGCCUGGGAAACCGGGUCUAAUACUGGAUAUGACUCCAUGACGCAUGUUGUGGGGUGGAAAGCCUUGUGCGGCUAGAGAUGGGCCCGCGGCCUAUCAGCUUGUUGGU
rnacentral:rRNA from 1 species